rnacentral:lncRNA from 1 species
GUAUGGAGGAGUAUAAGUGCUAUGGAUGAAGAAGAAAGUUCAAAAGAAGGUGAGACUACCGACAGAGACUAGCCUACGCAUCUUACUCACUACACAGCCUAUCAUUGCUGCUCAGCCUGGCCAGUCUACACAAUUUAAUCAGCAAUCAUCCGAUCUACGAGCAUUGUUUGCUCGAAUAGAUGCACUCGAGAUAUCUCUAACGAGAUGUAUGGAU